rnacentral:rRNA from 1 species
UGGGGAAUUUUGGACAAUGGGCGAAAGCCUGAUCCGGCAAUGCCGCGUGUGUGAAGAAGGCCUUCGGGUUGUAAAGCACUUUUGUCCGGAAAGAAAUCCUUGGCUCUAAUACAGUCGGGGGAUGACGGUACCGGAGGAAUAAGCACCGGCUAACUACGUGCCAGCAGCCGCGGUAAUACGUAGGGUGCAAGCGUUAAUCGGAAUUACUGGGCGUAAAGCGUGCGCAGGCGGUUUGCUAAGACCGAUGUGAAAUCCCCGGGCUCAACCUGGGAACUGCAUUGGUGACUGGCAGGCUAGAGUAUGGCAGAGGGGGGUAGAAUUCCACGUGUAGCAGUGAAAUGCGUAGAGAUGUGGAGGAAUACCGAUGGCGAAGGCAGCCCCCUGGGCCAAAUACUGACGCUCAUGCACGAAAAGCGUGGGGAGCAAAACAGGAUUAGAUACCCUGGUAGUCCACGCCCUAAAACGAUGUCAACUAGUUGUUGGGGAUUCAUUUCCUUAGUAACGUAGCUAACGCGUGAAGUUGACCGCCUGGGGAGUACGGUCGC